rnacentral:lncRNA from 1 species
GGGAGAGGAAGGGAAGACAGAAGGUUUAAAGACAGGGAGAGGAAGGGAAGACAGAAGGUUUAAAGACAGGGAGAGGAAGGGAAGACAGAAGGUUUAAAGACAGGGAGAGGAAGGGAAGAGAGAAGGUUUAAAGACAGGGAGAGGAAGGGAAGACAGAAGGCUUAAAGACAGGGAGAGGAAGGGAAGACAGAAGGCUUAAAGACAGGGAGAGGAAGGGAAGACAGAAGGCUUAAAGACAGGGAGAGGAAGGGAAGACAGAAGGUUUAAAGACAGGGAGAGGAAGGGAAGACAGAAGGUUUAAAGACAGGGAGAGGAAGGGGAGAGAGAAGGUUUAAAGACAGGGAGAGGAAGGGAAGACAGAAGGUUUAAAGACAGGGAGAGGAAGGGAAGAGAGAAGGUUUAAAGACAGGGAGAGGAAGGUUUCUCUAGGGAUGAAGGAUACAGACCGAUCCCAGUGUUCGUGACUACAACUGCUGCCUGGCUCUCACUACAGUGAAACGCCGACUGGCCUAUUCUGUUCUAAUCAAGACGGUAACAAUAAUAACGUGUGUGUG